GCCCAAGAGAUCGGGAUAACACCUGGAAACAGAUGCUAAUACCGGAUAACAACAGAUGAUGCCUAUCAACUGUUUAAAAGAUGGUUCUGCUAUCACUCUUGGAUGGACCUGCGGUGCAUUAGCUAGUUGGUAGGGUAACGGCCUGCCAAGGCGAUGAUGCAUAGCCGAGUUGAGAGACUGAUCGGCCACAUUGGGACUGAGACACGGCCCAAACUCCUACGGGAGGCAGCAGCC
rnacentral:rRNA from 1 species